CCCUAAAUGUCAGGAGCACCCAAGCUCCCUCAACCACAGUCCACCAUAAUCCACAUAAACACUGAUCAUCACCUGGAAAAGAGACGAGCACUAAAACAGAGAGCACUAAAGGAGACAGGAACAUGUGGCGCAAUGGUCAGCGAAGACUCCGACAAUGAUUGGUGUUUCGGGGGACGCCUUUGGCCAGGCGGAAGGACCUUCGUGGCGGCUGGUUCGGUGGUGGCAGGGUGCACGCGUACAACCCUUUCAUUUUACUUCCCCGUUUUUCUCUACCACCAAUACCUUGUUUUUUAGGCCCUUUAAUUACCUGCGGC
rnacentral:lncRNA from 1 species